rnacentral:rRNA from 1 species
UACGUAGGUGGCAAGCGUUGUCCGGAAUUACUGGGUGUAAAGCGCGCGCAGGCGGUUUUUCAAGUCAGUGGUGAAAGCCCGGAGCUCAACUCCGGAACUGCCAUUGAAACUGUGAAACUUGAGGAUGAGAGAGGUGAGUGGAAUUCCCAGUGUAGAGGUGAAAUUCGUAGAUAUUGGGAAGAACACCGGUGGCGAAGGCGGCUCACUGGCUCAUUUCUGACGCUCAGGCGCGACAGCGUGGGGAUCAAACAGG